AUUGAACGCUGGCGGCAGGCUUAACACAUGCAAGUCGAGCGAGGGAAGGUAGCUUGCUACCGGACCUAGCGGCGGACGGGUGAGUAAUGCUUAGGAAUCUGCCUAUUAGUGGGGGACAACAUCUCGAGAGGGAUGCUAAUACCGCAUAUGUCCUACGGGAGAAAGCAGGGGAUCUUCGGACCUUGCGCUAAUAGAUGAGCCUAAGUCGGAUUAGCUAGUUGGUGGGGUAAAGGCCUACCAAGGCGACGAUCUGUAGCGGGUCUGAGAGGAUGAUCCGCGAACCUGGGACUGAGACACGGCCCAGACUCCGACGGGAGGCAGCAGUGGGGAAUAUUGGACAAUGGGGGGAACCCUGAUCCAGCCAUGCCGCGUGUGUGAAGAAGGCCUUAUGGUUGUAAAGCACUUUAAGCGAGGAGGAGGCUACUCUAGUUAAUACCUAGGGAUAGUGGACGUUACUCGCAGAAUAAGCACCGGCUAACUCUGUGCCAGCCGCCGCAGUAA
rnacentral:rRNA from 1 species